AUCCCCACUGAAUGAAUAAAAAAAAAAAUUAAACGUAUCCUGGGAACAUGCCGUUCAGGGUUUUGGAAUGGGAACUUCAAACGAAGUUGGUAAAGGAGUCAAAUGCGAUUAUCAAGAAACAAGGAAGGCUAUGCUAAUGGAAUCAUCAGGAAACUACUUAUAAACUUCUUGAUAGAUAAUUCUAUGAAAUAUGAUUCUCAGCCACUCAUCUUUAUCCUCUACCUUCUCACCAUUAGGAUUAAGAUGUUUUUGGUUUGACUGUUAUCCUAAAUCGAAGUCUCAAAUGCUACAAGCUUGGAUGGACUUUUCUUUGGUCUCUUUCUCUCCUCUUCAUUUCCUCCUUUUCACAUUUAACUGGCAGAUGAGAGAUAGAAUUGCUUUCCAAGUUCGAGAAUAUACUUUGGUGGCCAUUAGCUUCUCCAAAAAUGCUACAAGAAAUGAGACACUUUGCUUUGCCACAGAGACUGUCCCCAACAUGAAGCCCACCUGAGAAAUUCUUUUAGAACUCAGGGCCAGGAAAAGCUUAUCUUCCCCUGAGGAACUUGUAUGUUUUCUUAUCAACAAAGAAUAUUGUUGACUGUGCCUGAUUGUAUCCCCUUUCCCUUUUCCCUCUGGUUGCCAAGAAGCUCAGAGCCAAAUUUUUGCUUAACAUUAAUAACUUUAUCGAACCCUGUGGCCUACAUAUCUGCAUUCUUAGUUUCCUCCUGGUCUUGACCUUCUACUCUGCUGUGUGUUUUCCUUGUUUCUGAUUUUUUGGUUAUUUAUAUUUUAUUGCUUGUUUUCUUGUAAGCUUCCUCAGAUCCUUUGUGGAACAAGGUGGGGUCAAUAAAAAAUGGCUUCAGCUUAUUAAUAGAAUAUACCAAAAGCAUUCCUUUUUUUUUUUUUUUUAAGAUUUUCUUUAUUCAUGAGAGACACAGAGAGAGAGGGAUGCAGAGACAUAGGCAGAGGGAGAAGCAGGCUCCACGCAGGGAGCCCGAUUUGGGACUUGAUCCCAGGACCCCAGGAUCAAGCCCUGAGCUGAAGGCAGAUGCUCAACUGCUGAGCAACCUAGGCAUCCCCCAAAGCAUUCCUUAAUCACCAAUUUAGUUCUUUGGGAAUGAGAACUUCAAAUUUAUUUAUUUUCAGGUUCUCCUCUUAUUGUGUCCCAUGGUUUGAUGAAGAAAUGGUUUUAUAAUUAUGAAAGCUGAAGGCCUUCACAUUUCUCCAUUCUACUUAAAAAACAAAAAAAACAAAAACAAAAAAAAACAAGAAUGUCAUUUUAUCCAAAGUUCCUAUUGUUUGCCAUAGAAAUUGUAGAAAGGUCAUAGAUACAUUUGACUGACAGACGAUAGACUAGGAAAAGAUAUUUUCAAUAUUUAAAAGCCACAAAGAAUUAAUAUAAAGAAUUAUAUAAGAAUUAUAUAAGAAUUAUAUAAAGAAUAUAUAAUGAC
rnacentral:lncRNA from 1 species